rnacentral:rRNA from 1 species
UACGUAGGGUGCAAGCGUUAAUCGGAAUUACUGGGCGUAAAGCGUGCGCAGGCGGUUAUGCAAGACAGAGGUGAAAUCCCCGGGCUCAACCUGGGAACUGCCUUUGUGACUGCAUAGCUAGAGUACGGUAGGAGGGGGAUGGAAUUCCGCGUGUAGCAGUGAAAUGCGUAGAUAUGCGGAGGAACACCGAUGGCGAAGGCAAUCCCCUGGACCUGUACUGACGCUCAUGCACGAAAGCGUGGGGAGCAAACGAGG